GGCCUACCAUGGUGGUAACGGGUAACGGGGUGUUAGGGCACGACACCGGAGAGGGAGCCUGAGAAACGGCUACCACAUCCAAGGAUGGCAGCAGGCGCGCGAAUUACCCAAUCCCGACACGGGGAGGUAGUGACAAUAAAUAACAAUACGGGGCUCUUUAGGGUCUCGUAAUUGGAAUGAGUACAAUUUAAAUCUCUUAACGAGGAACAAUUGGAGGGCAAGUCUGGUGCCAGCAGCCGCGGUAAUUCCAGCUCCAAUAGCGUAUAUUAAAGUUGUUGCAGUUAAAAAGCUCGUAGUUGAAUUUCGGGGUCAGCAGGUUGGUCGUGCCACUGGUAUGCACUGGUUUCGCUGAUUCCUCCUUUCUGAAGAACUGUAAUGCCAUUAAUUUGGUGUUGCAGGGAAACAGGACUGUUACUUUGAAAAAAUUAGAGUGUUUAAAGCAGGCUAACGCUUGAAUACAUUAGCAUGGAAUAAUGAAAUAGGACGUUUGAUCCUAUUUUGUUGGUUUCUAGGAUUGACGUAAUGAUUAAUAGGGAUAGUUGGGGGCAUUAGUAUUCAAUUGUCAGAGGUGAAAUUCUUGGAUUUAUUGAAGACUAACUACUGCGAAAGCAUUUGCCAAGGAUGUUUUCAUUAAUCAAGAACGAAAGUUAGGGGAUCGAAGACGAUCAGAUACCGUCGUAGUCUUAACCAUAAACUAUGCCGACUAGGGAUCGGAUGAUGUUAAUUUUUUAAUGACUCAUUCGGCGCCUUACG
rnacentral:rRNA from 1 species